CCUCGGGAGGCAGCAGUGGGGAAUAUUGCACAAUGGGCGCAAGCCUGAUGCAGCCAUGCCGCGUGUGUGAAGAAGGCCUUCGGGUUGUAAAGCACUUUCAGCGGGGAGGAAGGCGGUGAGGUUAAUAACCUCAUCGAUUGACGUUACCCGCAGAAGAAGCACCGGCUAACUCCGUGCCAGCAGCCGCGGUAAUACGGAGGGUGCAAGCGUUAAUCGGAAUUACUGGGCGUAAAGCGCACGCAGGCGGUCUGUCAAGUCGGAUGUGAAAUCCCCGGGCUCAACCUGGGAACUGCAUUCGAAACUGGCAGGCUAGAGUCUUGUAGAGGGGGGUAGAAUUCCAGGUGUAGCGGUGAAAUGCGUAGAGAUCUGGAGGAAUACCGGUGGCGAAGGCGGCCCCCUGGACAAAGACUGACGCUCAGGUGCGAAAGCGUGGGGAGCAAACAGGAUUAGAUACCCCGUAGUC
rnacentral:rRNA from 1 species